AUCAUCAUCAUCAUUUAGCGUCCGCUUUCCAUGCUAGCAUGGGUUGGACGGUUCAACUGGGGUCUGUGAAGCCAGAAGGCUGCAUCAGGCCCAGUCUGAAUCUAGCAGUAUUUCUACGGCUGGUUCCCCUUCCUAAUGCCAACCACUCCGUGAGUGUAGUGGGUGCUUUUUACGUGCCACCUGCACAGGUGCCA